UACGGAGGGUGCUAGCGUUGUUCGGAAUUACUGGGCGUAAAGGGCGCGUAGGCGGCCGUUUGCGUCGGAUGUGAAAGCCCGGGGCUCAACCUCGGAACGGCAUUCGAUACGGGACGGCUGGAGACCGGGAGAGGAGAGUGGAAUAGCCAGUGUAGAGGUGAAAUUCGUAGAUAUUGGCUGGAACACCGGUGGCGAAAGCGGCUCUCUGGCCCGGUUCUGACGCUGAGGUGCGAAAGCGUGGGGAGCAAACAGG
rnacentral:rRNA from 1 species